GAAAGAAAAUGACCAUCCUGCCACCCUGAUCUUGGACCUCCAGCUUCCAGAACUGCAGGAACUGUGAAAAUGAAGCUCACCAUCCCCAGCACCCUGUAUAAUGCCUGGCAUGUAGUAGGUGCACAUAUCUGCUUACUGAAUGAAGGACCUCAACUGGGAGACAUUAAAGCUAAUGCAUGAAAUAUGGAGAUGGUUCACUCAUUCCAUUAAUACUAGCAAGCAUCUUUUAUGUGGGCUUCAUGGAAGAUGAUGAUUCUCCACAGAUCUAUCCCUUUGGAUUCAAGAGUUGCCUUUCUCAGCAUUUAUAUCAAGAGGAGGGACAUUUUCUUGAGCAAAUUUGAAGGAAGGAAGAGGACAAAAACCAGCUGUGGGCAGCAGCUGAGAGCACACAAGGCAGCAACAAACAGCAUCGGAAGGAAAUGGUGCCAGUUCCCUUCUUUUUAAGAAAUCUCAAGAUUCAUGGGAGAAGCAUGCCUAACCCUGUAUGGACCAUCCCGAGGUCGCUCAGUAAAUGUUAAACACACGGUGGGCCGCUCAAAACUAUAGAGAGCGACUGUGUUCUCCCCGCAUAGGAAGGCCCUGUACUUCAGCAGUAUUCUGUUAAGUGUUUGUUGACAAACGCAUGCACACAUGGAUGAGCCCUGCUUCUGAUUAGUGCAAUGCAUCACGGUUAGCUUGUUUUGGGGGAAUGCGAACUUUUAAGGGAGUAGACCCAGUAACCUGACUAGGAGAUGAUCAACUCUGUCCCCAUUCUAUUUGGGGCUCUCCCUCCACCAUGAGUCUUCCUGCCCGCCUGCGUGCCUGCGUGCCUGCCUGAUGGACCUAGCCCAUCUCCCAGUCUCACUCUGGGGCCUGGGAGACUGCUUCUCACUACAGUGUGCUCUCUUUGGGAAAUUUCAAUUGCUUUGAAUUAGUUAUAGGCUCAGAAGUGAGCGACUUCCACUAUUGGAAUGCAGGCUUUAAAAUCACUCCAUUUCAUGUUGCCAGCUUGGCAGCACCAACCUGUCCUCAGAGAAUGCAGCCUGGUCAUGCAGGAGAGAGGCUUUUGAAAAAAAAUAAGGCAGAAAUGGACCAAUACGGUUAAGGAGGGAAGGAAAUGGCCUUGGAAAUACCUUCACUUUUACAUAAACCAUGCCUCAUCUGUUUUACCAUUGAUAACAUGGCAAAACUUCAGAUCUCCUUCUUCAGAAUAAGUCAAAGAGUAGUUAGCGAUGCCCUAUGUAAAUCAACUCACUGAGUCUGCUACGCCCCUGCAGUCUCCAGAUUUGUGUGGUUAUGUUGAAAUAUUUUUAGUAAAGCUUAUGUUCUCAUGCACGCAGCAAACACACCAGAAAGCAAAAGGAUGUAUCUGGUAUAAAUGGCAUUAUUUUCCAGCUCUUUUGAGGUAUAAUUGACAAAUAAGAAUUAUACAGCAUACAACAUGGUGAUUUGAUAUACGUAUACAUUGUGAAAUGAUUACCACAAUUAAGCUAAUUAACACAUGCAUCACCUCACAUAAUUACCCCGCCGCCCCCCCUUUUUUUGUUUUGGUGGUGAGAACACUUAAGAUCCACUCUCUUUGCAAAUUCCAAGUAUACAAUACUGUAUUAUUAGCUGUAGUCACUGUGCUGUACAUUAAAUCCCCAGAACUUAUCACUGGAAGUUUGUACCCUUUGGUCAACAUUUCCCUGUCUCUCUUUCCCCUGACAAUGAUCAUUCUAUGAGUUUCUAUGAGUUCAGCUUCAUUUAGAUUCUACAUGUAAAUGAGAUUAUACAUAUUUGUCUUUCUGUUUCUGGCUUAUUUCACUUAGCAUAACACCCUUCAGGUUCAUCCAUGUU